UGGGGAAUAUUGCGCAAUGGGGGGAACCCUGACGCAGCAACGCCGCGUGAAGGAGGAAGUAUUUCGGUAUGUAAACUUCUAUCAGCAGGGAAGAAGGAAGUGACGGUACCUGCAUAAGAAGCCCCGGCUAAUUACGUGCCAGCAGCCGCGGUAAUACGUAAGGGGCAAGCGUUAUCCGGAUUUACUGGGUGUAAAGGGUGAGUAGGCGGUUCGGCAAGUCAUAUGUGAAAUACCCGGGCUUAACCCGGGAACCGCAUAAGAAACUGUCGAACUUGAGUACAGGAGAGGUAAGCGGAAUUCCCAGUGUAGCGGUGAAAUGCGUAGAUAUUGGGAAGAACACCGGUGGCGAAGGCGGCUUACUGGACUGAAACUGACGCUGAGUCACGAAAGCGUGGGGAGC
rnacentral:rRNA from 1 species